UACGUAGGGUGCAAGCGUUGUCCGGAAUUAUUGGGCGUAAAGAGCGUGUAGGCGGCCCGGUUAGUCCGCUGUGAAAGUCCAGGGCUCAACCCUGGAAUGCCGGUGGAUACUGUCGGGCUAGAGUCCGGAAGAGGCGAGUGGAAUUCCUGGUGUAGCGGUGAAAUGCGCAGAUAUCAGGAGGAACACCAAUGGCGAAGGCAGCUCGCUGGGACGGUACUGACGCUGAGACGCGAAAGCGUGGGGAGCAAACAGG
rnacentral:rRNA from 1 species